GGGCAAAUUGAACUAUUACAUCAUGAUUAAAACAGAGAUGCUUCUGUUCAUAUUGUUGCUGGCGACUCAUCAUUUCAUUCAUGAAUAUUUUUUUUCCGCAUUGCAGCUGAAGCACUUGAUUGUCUGAUGUGCAGGGAUUUUCCUCAGUGCGAAGAUACAUUUUCAGGCAACUGUUCCUCCGAUGAGCUAUGUGCUACAGCUGCCAUCAGAUUACAGCAGAUGGGAAGUUCUCUGUUGAUCAACACCAAGUCAUGUGUGCCACCCUCGUUGUGCGAUGUUGGAAAUGGGACAUUUUCAGGAAGCUUGGGUUUCAUGAGAGUAGUUGGCUCUGUUCGAUGCUGCGACACAGAUAACUGCAACUCUCAAACUCUGCCUAUCCCUGCUGACCAAGAGAGUAACGGCUUUGAGUGUUACUCCUGUGACAGCUCCACAUGCAGACACAAAAUUCAGUGUGUUGGGGUGGAG
rnacentral:lncRNA from 1 species